AGACCCGAAACCCGGUGAUCUAGCCAUGGGCAGGUUGAAGGUUGGGUAACACUAACUGGAGGACCGAACCGACUAAUGUUGAAAAAUUAGCGGAUGACCUGUGGCUGGGGGUGAAAGGCCAAUCAAACCGGGAGAUAGCUGGUUCUCCCCGAAAGCUAUUUAGGUAGCGCCUCGUGAAUUCAUCUCCGGGGGUAGAGCACUGUUUCGGCUAGGGGGCCAUCCCGGCUUACCAACCCGAUGCAAACUGCGAAUACCGGAGAAUGUUAUCACGGGAGACACACGGCGGGUGCUAACGUCCGUCGUGAAGAGGGAAACAACCCAGACCGCCAGCUAAGGUCCCAAAGUCAUGGUUAAGUGGGAAACGAUGUGGGAAGGCCCAGACAGCCAGGAUGUUGGCUUAGAAGCAGCCAUCAUUUAAAGAAAGCGUAAUAGCUCACUGGUCGAGUCGGCCUGCGCGGAAGAUGUAACGGGGCUAAACCAUGCACCGAAGCUGCGGCAGCGACACUAUGUGUUGUUGGGUAGGGGAGCGUUCUGUAAGCCUGUGAAGGUGGCCUGUGAGGGUUGCUGGAGGUAUCAGAAGUGCGAAUGCUGACAUAAGUAACGAUAAAGCGGGUGAAAAGCCCGCUCGCCGGAAGACCAAGGGUUCCUGUCCAACGUUAAUCGGGGCAGGGUGAGUCGACCCCUAAGGCGAGGCCGAAAGGCGUAGUCGAUGGGAAACGGGUUAAUAUUCCCGUACUUGGUGUUACUGCGAAGGGGGGACGGAGAAGGCUAUGUUGGCCGGGCGACGGUUGUCCCGGUUUAAGCGUGUAGGCUGGUUUUCCAGGCAAAUCCGGAAAAUCAAGGCUGAGGCGUGA
rnacentral:rRNA from 1 species